CCCCCACACUGGGACUGAGACACGGCCCAGACUCCUACGGGAGGCAGCAGUGAGGAAUAUUGGACAAUGGAUGGAAAUCUGAUCCAGCCAUGCCGCGUGCAGGAAGACGGCCUUAUGGGUUGUAAACUGCUUUUAUACGGGAGCAAUAAGGGUUACGAGUAAUCCGAUGAGAGUACUGUAUGAAUAAGGAUCGGCUAACUCCGUGCCAGCAGCCGCGGUAAUACGGAGGAUCCGAGCGUUAUCCGGAAUUAUUGGGUUUAAAGGGUGCGUAGGCGGCCAUUUAAGUCAGCGGUGAAAUUUUGCAGCUUAACUGUAACAGUGCCGUUGAUACUGUUUGGCUAGGAUUUGGUUGUAGUGUGCGGAAUGUGUGGUGUAGCGGUGAAAUGCUUAGAUAUCACACAGAACACCGAUUGCGAAGGCAGCACACUAAGUCAUUAUUGACGCUGAGGCACGAAAGUGUGGGGAUCAAACAGGAUUAGAUACCCUGGUAGUCCACACUGUAAACGAUGAUAACUCGCUGUCGGCGAUACACAGUCGGUGGCCAAGCGAAAGCAUUAAGUUAUCCACCUGGGGAGUACGACCGCAAGGUUGAAACUCAAAGGAAUUGGCGGGGGCCCGCACAAGCGGAGGAACAUGUGGUUUAAUUCGAUGAUACGCGAGGAACCUUACCCGGGCUCGAACGGUGCAUGAAUAUACGAGAGAUUGUAUAGUCCUUCGGGACAUGUAUCGAGGUGCUGCAUGGUUGUCGUCAGCUCGUGCCGUGAGGUGUCGGCUUAAGUGCCAUAACGAGCGCAACCCUUGUCAUUAGUUGCCAUCAGGUCAAGCUGGGGACUUUAAUGAGACUGCCACCGUAAGGUGUGAGGAAGGGGGGGAUGACGUCAAAUCAGCACGGCCCUUAUGUCCGGGGCGACACACGUGUUACAAUGGGAGGUACAGAGGGCAGCUAUCCGGUGACGGAAUGCUAAUCUCCAAAACCUUUCUCAGUUCGGAUUGGAGUCUGCAACUCGACUCCAUGAAGGUGGAUUCGCUAGUAAUCGCGCAUCAGCCAUGGCGCGGUGAAUACGUUCCCGGGCCUUGCACUCACCGCCCGUCAAG
rnacentral:rRNA from 1 species